UUCUAAAUGAGAAGGUAGCUGAGGUCUCUCUGCGUUCAGCAGGAGCCACAAGGAAGGAGUCCUCUCGCUUUGCCCAGGUCACCUCCUUCUGUCCAUCACUGCUGGCUUGUUUAUUCCCUCACUGGCUCACAUAGCUAUCGCAGGGCCCAAGCACUCCUGCUGUUGGAGGACUUGCCCCUCAUCAUAUUGGAAUAUGACAUUGCACCUGCAUCUCACUCCAGGAGGGUGCUUUGGCUUCUUGCAGAGGACAGCAGCUGCCAGGCAGUUUUGCCUCUUGUGAGAAGAGUGGCCAUGGGACCCACUGGGCUGCUCCAGGUGUUUCCUCGCCUCCUCUUCUGAAAAUCCAGGGAGGCCAUGCAGGCUCCUCCAGGCUGCUUGGUGUGGUCAGGCCGUGAGUGGUUCCAGCAGGCGGGAGCCUAUGUUGGCGCCGGAGUGGGUGCAAGUCAACCCACAUUCCAUCGCCUCCUCCUUUCUGCCCGCAGGAGCCUUCUUCUUUAUUAGGCAUCGCCCCAGCAAUCAACUCAUCUGAUCUUCACAGCAGCCCUGCAAGGAGCAGCAUUGUGGAAGGAGCUAGGGAUGUUAAAAUGAAUAAGAUCCAGCCCCUCACCCUCAGGGACCCCACAGCCUCGCACAGAAGGAAGUUGACAGUGGAGCCUCUGCCCCUCCAGACACACUGGGAGGUUCUGGCCUGUGGAGGAGCCCAUCGAGGUUUGAGUGAGGGAGCCGACAAAGAAGUGAAUGCAGGAACCAUCACUGGCAACAGAAGCAAUGGUCCUCCAUGUGUCCUUACAUCACUGAAUCUUCCCAGGGGCCUUGUGAACCAUGACUGAUGCUCACCCUCAUUUGCAGAAUUGUCUUGAGCAGAAGAUCCUGGCAACACGGUGAGCACCUAGGGAUUUAGGGAAGCCACUCUAGCACUCUGGCAUUGAUUGUCCUGGCAGGAGACAGAUGACAUCAGUUACUGGAGUUCCCUGCUACAAUGGAGAUACGGCCAAGGCAAAAGCAAGCAGCAGAGAUGAGCCAGGGAGGAGGAGAGAGGCUGCAUUUCAUGAUCUGGUCAAAACCAGCCAUGGCACCCAGACAAGGUGCUCUGCAGCUUUCAAAGUGCAUCACAUCCAUUAUCUUCUGUGACCCACAGACAGGUCAGCAAAGCUGGCUGGUGUGAGGUCACCAAGCCCCGUGCAGGUUGCUCCUCACAUACCUCUUGCAUCCACUCCUUCU
rnacentral:lncRNA from 10 species